GCGGGUUAACUGGCAGUCAGUCGUCUGAAACACCAGUAGACGAAGAUGUCUUCAGGAAGAGAAAUUCUCUGAAGCUGUGGGAUCUCUGUGUCUUUUGCUGAAGUGUUUAGCAAGAAUACAGCUCAACCAUAUCCAGGAGAGAUUUUAAAAAGUUUAUUUCAACAGAAAUCAAUAGAUGUUCUGUAAACUAUGUCACACUUCUUCACCUUGAAGUUGCAAAGUUGCUUAUUUACGCUGCUGACUGAAGAAAUGUGUUUCGAUGUCAGCAAAAGACAGCACACACACUGGACCUGGAGGAUACUUUCACCUGGAGGAAACAAAAACACCAUUUUUAACAGACCCAAUGUAACCCACAUCAACUAUAAUGCAACAGGACCAGUGGCAGACAUGUCUUAUCCAGCCUGUUUGUAAUCUGUUUUAAAGAGGGAGGAGGAGCUGACUACGGAGGCCUGGUAAAUUCAGUCCUCAUAACUCCACAGACAAAUUUUUAUUUUCACAUUUUUCAUUUUAGCAUUAAGUGACAUCAGUUCACAGUCAGGUUUUCAGAUCAUUUUGAAAAACAAAAAGCUUUCUACAACUUUUUUUUUUUUUUACACAUGCUAUUAUAGUUCCUG